rnacentral:ncRNA from 1 species
NNNUCUUGGGCCUGACAACAUGCAUAUGGUUAAGGCAUUGCCAUCUACUUCAUGGCAUCUAACCACUUUUUU